rnacentral:lncRNA from 1 species
CGGUUUGCGUGAACGAGCCGUUUGAUCGCUCAAAUUACAUAAAAUGAUGAGAUUUUAUGUAAUUAGAGGGUCUUUUAUGCAGUUGUGCUUUGCGUGGCUACUGUGGGCAGUGUGUGGGAGUUUGUAAUGACCGCUGGACUGAUUGUCCAUGGUUCGUUAGCUUUCGCGGAAAUCGGUAGGUCGAUUUCGGUGCGUUUUUCGGCGAAAUUCGCCGAAAGAACGCGGUUUCGGUUCGGAUUCUUUCCGACGGUGUUUGGUUGCUUCGUGUUUUGUCGCUGAGCCUUGUUGGCUGGUCACCAUCAUCAUUUUGUGGGUUCGAUGAUGAUGGGUGAGCGACGGUGGGUUCCAAUGUCGAAAUAGACAUUUCCGGGAAUCCGGAUUCGUACGAUUAUCCGGCGAUGAUCGUAUUGUUGUGUUACCUCGUGUUCGCUGCCAAGGCAUCCAAAUCGGAGUGUUCUGGAGCAGCAGGUGACUCGUGACACGAGUCGGUGAGUUUCGGGACACUUAGUGGGUCCCGACGGCGUCCCGGUGUAGUUUUCGGGACUUCCGGUGAGUUACGAUGAUCGGUUUUGGGAAACCGAUACGGGGUUCUGUGUGGGGGUUUGUGAGAUAGUGUACUUCAGGUGAGUGGGUUGGUUACUGACCCAUUGGAUCUUCGUAGGUCCGGUCGACUUGUGCGUACCCAGUGUUCCGACGCGACAGUGACAGGUGGGUGCUUCGAGCUGGUAGUCGGUGAGAGCGUUUCACCUCCUUCUCCUAUUUUUCUAUUCCAGUAUAUUAGCUCUACAUGUCAGUUGUUUGGUUAUCGUUUGGUUAUCGUAUUUCGUUGACUGCAUUGGUUAGUGAUUGAUAGACAUGUGGAGCAGGUUGCACUUGUAUUUCAGUAUCUCUGUGGACCUUGGGUCCAGGCAACACAUCGACUCUCUUGUCGUGUGUUUCGAUCUGGUUGAUCGAGGUUCGGCGUUGUACGCCCUAGCUUCUAUUUCAAUUUGGCAUUGUACGCCCUCGUUGUUGGCUUCGGCCUAGGCAUCGGCUUUAGCCGGGUUUGUUUUUGUUUGAGCAUACCAGCAUGACUUAGUCACGGCACUUUGGGGUAUUCAUGACACCGGAUCGGUUUGGCCACCGAUCGGAGGUGUACUUAUCCGGAUAGGUCGUCCUGCGGGGCGGAUGGAUCAGGUCGGUGCAGUUAGUGACAGGCAGCGCUUGAGGUCUGCGGACCAAUACAGCAGGCACAGAUUGGGUACAGUUUCUAUUCAGUACUUUGAGGCAUUCUUUGCAUUGUUAUCUAUACAGUAGCAGGUUUGUUUAUUGCUUCUUAUUUAUCUGUUGUAGCUACUGUAGUUUGUUUUCAUAUAUCAGUAUCUAUGUUUGUUUAUCUAUCUCCUUUGGUUUCCGGUGAUUACGGCUUGCCUUCGUGGCUCUGUCGUACCCACUGAGAAAACUAUGGUUGCGGUUUCUCACCCCCCAUUCCCCCCCCCCAGGUGAUAUAGACGAGGAGUUGGAUUUUGGGCUCGACGAGAGGACGAUCUAGCUAGUAUGGUAUAGCGAUCGCCACCCUGGUUGUAUUUCUUUCCCGCCUUUAGUAGUCAUUUAAAUAAUGGUUCAGUUAGCUGAUUUUUAUGAUUGUUUGAAUGUGGUGAUCUGGUUUUGGUAGAUCUGUGGAUGCUUUCAUUAUUUAUGCAUGUGAACUGAGGUUUGUGGAUUUGGAUUUUGAUUCUAUGGAUAUCGGAUUUUCUUGUAUUUACAUAUCGUGGUUUUCUACCCCUCGAGGUAGUUGAUUUUCAAAAUAGAGUUUCCGUGUGGGAAAU